UACGUAGGGUGCAAGCGUUAUCCGGAAUUAUUGGGCGUAAAGAGCUCGUAGGCGGUUUGUCGCGUCUGCUGUGAAAAUCCGGGGCUCAACCCCGGACUUGCAGUGGGUACGGGCAGACUGGAGUGUGGUAGGGGAGACUGGAAUUCCCGGUGUAGCGGUGAAAUGCGCAGAUAUCGGGAAGAACACCGAUAGCGAAGGCAGCUUACUAGGCUGUAACUGACGCUGAGGCACGAAAGUGUGGGGAUCAAACAGG
rnacentral:rRNA from 1 species